rnacentral:rRNA from 1 species
UACGAAGGGAGCUAGCGUUGUUCGGAAUCACUGGGCGUAAAGCGCACGUAGGCGGAUUUGUCAGUCAGGGGUGAAAUCCCGGGGCUCAACCUCGGAACUGCCUUUGAUACAGCAAGUCUUGAGUUCGAGAGAGGUGGGUGGAAUUCCUAGUGUAGAGGUGAAAUUCGUAGAUAUUGGGAGGAACACCAGUGGCGAAGGCGGCUCACUGGACCGGAACUGACGCUGAGGCGCGAAAGCGUGGGGAGCAAACAGG